AUGGCGAUGGCGAUGGCGAUCCCGUCCCUGCUCGCGGCGCUGCUGGCCGGCUGCGUCCUCCUCGCCGUGCCGGCGCCGCAGUGCGCGGUGACGGCGACGGACCACGUUGUCGGGGGCUCGCUCUGGACCAUCCCCACGAGCAGCGACCACUACAGCAACUGGGCGGGCAACAGGACGAUCUUCGCCGGCGACAACCUCGUGUUCAGGUUCGACGCGGGGAUGUACGACGUGGUGCAGGUGGGGCAGUGGGAGUACAAUCGCUGCUCGUGGGAGGACCCCUACUCGGACACCCUCAAGAGCAGCCCCGCCGUGUUCCACCUCGACUUCGCCGACGCCAAAUACUACGUCUGCACCAUCGGCAACUACUGCUCCCUCGGCGUCAAGAUCUACGUCCAGGUCCAGCAGGCCUAG
rnacentral:rRNA from 1 species